AGUCUGGUGCCAGCAGCCGCGGUAAUUCCAGCUCUAAUAGCGUAUAUUAAAUUUGUUGCAGUUUAAAAGCUCGUAGUUGGACUUUUGGGAAAAUUAAAAGGAUGGUGAAAUAAAGUUGUUGGGCGCGUAAAAACGUCUGAUGACCGCCAUCCCCCAAUCAUUUAUGUGGGAGGGGGCCAUUUGUUGGGUCUGGAGGUCGUUCGGUGGUCGCAAGACUAACGGGUGGCAAUACCGUCACAGGUGACCACACCAAACUCUCUCACUUUUUACCUUGAGCAAAUUAGAGUGUUCAAAGCAAGCUUUUUCGCAUGAAUAUUCUAGCAUGGAAUAAUGGAAUAGGACUUGAGUCCUGUUCGUUGGUUUUUGGGACUCGAGUAAUGAUUAAUAGGGAUGGUUGGGGCCGUUUGUAUUCCGUUGUCAGAGGUGAAAUUCUUGGAUUUACGGAAGACAAACAUCUGCGAAAGCAUUCGGCAAGCACAUGCUCAUUAAUCAAGAACGAAAGUUAGGGGAUCGAAGACGAUCAGAUACCGUCGUAGUCUUAACCAUAAACUAUGCCGACUCGGGAUCCGCGCGCGUUGAUUUUAUCAAACGACCGUGUGGGCACCGUGUGGGAAACCAUCAGUGUUUGGGCUCCGGGGGGAGUAUGGUCGCAAGGCUGAAACUUAAAGGAAUUGACGGAAGGGCACCACCAGGAGUGGAGCCUGCGGCUUAAUUUGACCCAACACGGGAAAUCUCACCAGGUCCAGACAUUUUCAGGAAGAUCAGAUUGAAAGCUCUUAUUUGAUUAGAUGGGUGGUGGUGCAUGGCCGUUCUUAGUUGGUGGAGUGAUUUGUCUGGUUAAUUCCGUUAACGAACGAGACCUCAGCCUGCUAAGUAGGGGGCGUGGCUUUUUGGCCGGCGCUCAAAAUUUACCUUCUUAGGGGGACUAUUUGUGUUUAACGAAUGGAAGUUUGAGGCAAUAACAGGUCUGUGAUGCCCUUCGAUGUUCUGGGCCGCACGCGCGCUACACUGACGAGUCCAACAAGCAUAAGUUUUAUUUUCUCAAGGGUCAGCAAUGGUCUGGAGCAAUCCUCGCUUUCGUUUCUCGCCUCGGCGGGUGCGGAAGUUGCUUGGGAGAAGAGUCCUGGUCCGAAAGGUCUGGGGAAACUUGCAAGACUCUGUCGUGAUGGGGCUAGCUCCUUGUAAUUAUGGAGCUUCAACGAGGAAUUCCUAGUAAGCGCGAGUCAUCAGCUCGCGUUGAUUACGUCCCUGCCCUUUGUACACACCGCCCGUCGCUCCUACCGAUUGAAUGGUCCGGUGAAAUCUUCGGAUUGUCGUUUGGUGUGGGUAACUGCAUCAGAAGCGAAAAGUUGAUUAAACCUUAUCAUUUAGAGGAAGGAGAAGUCGUAACAAGGU
rnacentral:rRNA from 1 species